UCUCUCUCUUUCAUCUUUAUAGUUUCUACUGAUUUUCUUUUUCUCCUUUCCUCUUCUUCCUCUUCCUCUUCUCCUCCAGCCAGAAGCAGCAGCAACGCUGGCCGUCCGCCAAAAAAAGCAGCAACGGCCGCGAGAAGCAGUAGCAGCGCCGGCCGUCCGCCAGAAGAAGCAGCAGCGCCGCCGCCGCGCCGUCAAGCAGCCAGCAGCAACCGCGCCGCGCCGUCAAGCAGCCAGCAGCAGCCGCGCCGCGCCGUCCGCCAUCAACAUUCAACCAGUCAGCAGCCGCGCAGGACCGCAGGAUUUCCAAAUCAAGUUUCCUUCUUUUUUUUUCUCCAUGUUGCCGCAUGAAGCACUCUGUAAUACUUCACUCAACCACUCAAUUGGGAUCAUCAACUUCUUCGUCGUCGUCGUCAAGUUUCUCCUCUUUCUUAGUUCGCAGAGAUGUUUAUCCAGCUCACGAACAACCUCAUCUAAUUUCUUAUCAAGAUUUGAUGUCCAUUUUAAUCAUUUUUCAUUUUUGGUCUUUCUAUAGUUAUUUUCGAAAGCAAAGAAUGAUCCUCCUCUUUUUCUAAAGUACCACUACUUUUAACUUGUCCCUCCUCAUUAGUACUUCUUAUUCUCUUAGACCUUUUUGCCUUAUCUUUUUCUAUUAAGAACUUAUUGCUUGAUAUUGAUAAGUGUCAUAGCAAUUUACUAUGUUUUUUUCCUUUUCUUCUUGCACUUUCUUAGGACAAGAUGUGUUGUCCAUUACAUAAACUUGAUUAGUCUAGCGUUGUGAUAUUUCCUUUGCCUUGUUAUUGUAGUUCUUCAUGUGCUUCCAUACAUCUUUGAGUUUCAAUGAUGAAAUGGACGACUUAUUAAAAAAUUAAGCAUGCCCCUUGUGUUGUUGCUUCUUUUAUCAUUUCACGUGUUAGCAAUUAUUAGUACGUGGAACAAUUUUUUGAAAAUUAGGACAAUAAAAAUGGUAAAAGAAGCAACAAACACAAGGGGCGUGCUUAAUUUUUUUGAAGUCGUCCAUUUCAUCAAUGAAACUCAAGGAUGCAUGGAAGUACGCGAAGAACUACGAUAACUAGGUGAAUGAAAUAUCACAACACUAAAAGGCUAAUGAGGUUUACGUAAUGAAAACCACAUCUUGGCCUACAAAAGUGCAAGACCAAAAGGGAAAAAGCAUGGUGAGUUGUUCUGAGACUUAUCAAGAUCAAGAAGUAGGUUCCAUAAUAGAAAAGGACGAGGCAAAAAGAUCUAAAAGAAUGAAAAGUACCAAUGGGGAGGGACAAGUUAAAAGUAGUGAUACUUUAGAAAAAGAGGUGGAUUGUUUUUUGCUUUCGAGAAAAUAACUACUGAAGACCAUAAAAGAAAAGACGACACUUGCAAUGGACACAAGAUCUUGAUAAGAAAUUUGAAGAGGUUGUUUGCGAGUUAGGAGAAAAAGGUAAGGAUUAACCUAGAACAGAUAAGCAUAAACAAACCAAUCACUAUAUUUUUGUAAUUUGAAAGUUAAACUUGUUCGAGUUACAAAGAGAGGACAGGAGAUUACAAACAAGCCUAAUAUUACUAAGUUAUAGUUUUUCCCUCAAUCAUAUAACAAUCAUUAUCAUGUGAGAUGAUCUCCUUAUACGGGAGAUCUUAAAAGCAUUAGUUGUUUCACGUCGUAUUCUCAAAGAUCUUGAAUAAUAAGUUUAUUAACAUUCAACUCUCAUCA